rnacentral:misc_RNA from 1 species
GAACUGCGAUAAGUAAUGUGAAUUGCAGAAUUCAGUGAAUCAUCGAGUCUUUGAACGCACAUUGCGCCCCCUGGCAUUCCGGGGGGCAUGCAUGUCCGAGCGUCAUUGCUGCCCUUCAAGCCCGGCUUGUGUGUUGGGUCGUCGUCCCCUCCGGGGGACGGGCCCGAAAGGCAGCGGCGGCACCGCGUCCGGUCCUCGAGCGUAUGGGGCUUUGUCACCCGCUCGAUAAGGACCGGCCGGGCGCCAGCCGGCGUCUCCAACCUUUUUUUCUCAGGUUGACCUCGGAUCAGGUAGGGAUACCCGCUGAACUUAAGC